AGAGAGAAAGAUAAUCCAAAAUUUUUGCAUCUGAGGCAACCCAAAUUUGUUCACAUCAAGAAUCAAAACUCAAAAUUUGCACAGAUCAAAUCAAACCCAAAAUUCAUUCCCAUCAAACCCAAAAGUCUUCUUCUAUCUCUUUCGCUUAAAUCAUGUUUUGUGUAUAUAUUUACAUAUAUAUGUAUAAUUUAUAUGUUCUUCUACCUCUGUUUCUUCUACUUUCAUCAAGAAAUGAUAAACCCUAAACCCCUAAUUGCUUAAUUCUCUCUCAUGCUUACAGCUCUCUUCGGCUCCUCCGCCGUCCUCUGCCGCUCCUCCGCCGUCCUCUGCUUCCACCAAUCUCCUCUCCAAAAACGUAGAAAUGAUCCACCACCACUAUCAGUCCUAUUACGACGUCCUCUGCUUCCACCAAUAGAGUUGAUGGAUCUCGCUGGGCUGUAAAAUUUGAAUUUGGCAGGAAAUCAGAUAAAGGGAAGGAUCCCUGAGAACAUUGGCAGCUUGAGACCAAGGGAUAAAGGGAAGGAUCCGAAUUUGGGGCUUGCUUUAUAUUUGGAUUUCGGCAACUUUCGGCUACGGAUCUGGAUUGUUGGAGUUUUAGAACUUGGUUGCUUUGAUUUUGAUGAGUUUUAAAAUUUUGAUUUCGAAUUAUUUUGGAUUUGGAUUUGUGGCAUAGAUGUGAGUUAUUUUGAAUUUGUUGAGUUCUAACAAAUUAAAUUUUGAAUUUAAUUUCUUCUAAUUAAGUUUUGAAAGAGAAAAUUGUGUGCAAAUUGGAACUAUUGAGAUUAUCUGUUAUUACGUUAUUGAUUGAGGAUGAACAAAGAUGAAGAACAU
rnacentral:lncRNA from 1 species